UACCUGGUUGAUUCUGCCAGUAGUCAUAUGCUUGUCUCAAAGAUUAAGCCAUGCAUGUCUAAGUAUAAGCAAUUAUACAGCGAAACUGCGAAUGGCUCAUUAUAUAAGUUAUCGUUUAUUUGAUAGUACCUUACUACUUGGAUAACCGUGGUAAUUCUAGAGCUAAUACAUGCUAAAAAUCCCGACUUCGGAAGGGAUGUAUUUAUUAGAUUAAAAACCAAUGCCCUUCGGGGCUCACUGGUGAUUCAUAAUAACUUCUCGAAUCGCAUGGCCUUGCGCCGGCGAUGGUUCAUUCAAAUUUCUUCCCUAUCAACUUUCGAUGCUAGAGUAGUGUUCUAGCAUGGUUACAACGGGUAACGGAGGGUUAGGGCUCGACCCCGGAGAAGGAGCCUGAGAAACGGCUACUACAUCCAAGGAAGGCAGCAGGCGCGCAAAUUACCCAAUCCCGACACGGGGAGGUAGUGACGAUAAAUACUGAUACAGGGCUCUUUUGGGUCUUGUAAUUGGAAUGAGUACAAUUUAAAUCCCUUAACGAGGAACAAUUGGAGGGCAAGUCUGGUGCCAGCAGCCGCGGUAAUUCCAGCUCCAAUAGCGUAUAUUAAAGUUGUUGUGGUUAAAAAGCUCGUAGUAGAACCUUGGGCCUGGCUGGCCGGUCCGCCUCACCGCGUGCACUGGUCCGGCCGGGCCUUUCCC
rnacentral:ncRNA from 1 species